ACACAAUUCGUAAAAGCUUUAAUAAAACAUUUUGAACGAAGUUUCACAGGCUAGUAUAACAUGGUGCGGCACAACAGUUGGUGCGCUACUAUGGCUUGGCCGCUUCCAACGCUAGCUCCCGCGCCUGCCAUGCUGCCGUUGCCGUGCAUUGUCUCCGUUCGCGCUUGCAGUGUCGCGCAUGGCCGCGCGCCCGCACUUUGCAAAGGAUUCAACGGGUCGCUUUCGUGCGCACAUCGCAUUCUCUGUGUGUUCCUGCGUUGAUGGCUCAGCUUCGUUUUGGUGCUUUCAGACAUUCACGUACUAAUCACAGCUGCCUUUGGUGAACAAAAAAACCGUGACCACAUUAGAAUCCGAGCAGAGCUCCAAUCCUGCAUUCUGAUGACACCUUAUGCAUCAAAGGAUACUGGACCUGCCGCCAGCUGACAUGCCUUUCUUCCUCCUUAGUUCUGUUAAGAUGUGGGUUCAGUUUUUCUAGACAUGCAAUCCAUAAUAUAUGCAGUCUAGUCAAUCAGUGCACGGCAUUGCAUGCUAUUCAUUUCCUAUGUAUAUAUUUAGUCAGAAUCAAAGCAGGACAAGCACAUGUACAUAAUUUGCAAGAAUAAAAUUUUGUUUUUUGCUAAUUUUGCUGCCUCUUAAACAUUGUUAUGAAAU
rnacentral:lncRNA from 1 species